GUUCGAAUUCGGUUCAGAGUUGACCAAGAUGACCGUGGAAGGUCAAACCCAGGAACCUUCUGCGUGGGAUCUGGUACAAGGUCUCGGAGCUGGCGCAGAAAUCCUGUAUUUGGGCAGAUCUCUCUGUGAGAAUUCACCAUUUUUAAAGCCUCCACAAGCGUCAUGUUUUCAUGGAUCAUUAAAAAAGCGAGCACUAAAGAUGCAGAGCGGCUUAUCCCCAUGGCACAGUGAACGAACACUUUACCUGAAAAUAAAUGGGACAACACAUGCCUAGUGGGCUUUAGAACUUGCAAGGUGGCAACGACUUUGUAUAAUGCUAUACGAGCUUAACAGAAAUCCGUCAAAAUGCACAGCGCCAUCUAGAGUCAAAUGCACAGCGCCAUCUGAGGACCUGAUAUGUCUGGAGGAAACAGCUUUGCUAGUUACACAUCGCUGUGGAUAAAAUGUGCGCAGGAAGCACCCCUGUGUAUGGGGCAGUGAGGAGUCACCUUGGGUGGAGGCACCACACGCCAGAAAAUACCCAGAACCCAAUCCGUGCAAGAAGGAAGAAGCAACUCCUAAUAUUGAUGAUGGCAAGCAGCAUGGAGAGAGAAGGGAGAAGGUUUGAGCCACACUUCAGGGAAGGGGCUACAUGAGUACAGACCAGCCUGUGAGAUACCAGUUGUUCAGAGUGGUAGCAAGAAGGUGGAGGACAACCUCACAUCAGAAUCAAACGGGGAGAAGCAAGAAGAAAAGAGCCUUUCUGCAUGCCAUUGUGCUUUCUUUCUGUUGAAUGAAUCUACUGCCUGCCCCGCCCAAUGUCCGAUAGCAUUUUAUAAGCUUAUGGUAUAUUUUGCUAAUGACUCAUCAAGCAGGAGUACACACUAUAUCUGGCACCCUUUGUGUUCAGCAGCAGGAGCCAAGUUUGUCUUGUGGGGACGGGACUAAUCUUGUAUGGUUAUUGCCCUCACUACUGUAGUCCACAUUUUACAGCUUCCCUAUUCAGUCUCAGCCUCCCAUUGGUUCACUUUUGUGGAUUCAGAAUUAACCCACUCAUCCCUCAUGCACAGCUCUGCACAAUUAGAACCUGAUCCUGCAGAGUACUUAAGCACAUGCUUAACUUUAAUUAUAUGAUUAGUCUCACUGGCUUUAAUGGUAAUGCUCACAUGCUAAAACUUAAAUACAUACCUAAGUGCAUUGCUGCAUCAGAGACUGAACUGGGUAUGGAUGCUCCCUGUUCCCUUCCUCUGACACCCUUGCAAGUGACCAGUGCCAAAGGCAGAAUCUUGGACUGAAUAGAAAGACCAAUGCUCCAAUCCAGAAGGGCAAAUCCACUCCAAAAGCACGGAGUUCAGUGCUGGUUUUACUUAGUUACAUUCUUUGGUCUCUUUUUGGCGGCAGCAGCAGCACCAAAAUACUGUUGCCAAGCCUGCAGGAUUGCUAGCCCACAACAAAGCCUGU